rnacentral:rRNA from 1 species
GACGAGGGGUCCUAGCGUUGUUCGGAAUUACUGGGCGUAAAGCGCAUGUAGGUGGCUUGAUAAGUCAGGGGUGAAAUCCCGGGGCUCAACCUCGGAAUUGCCUUUGAUACUGUCUGUCUUGAGUCCGGGAGAGGUGAGUGGAAUUCCUAGUGUAGAGGUGAAAUUCGUAGAUAUUAGGAAGAACACCAGUGGCGAAGGCGGCUCACUGGCCCGGUACUGACGCUCAUGUGCGAAAGCGUGGGGAGCAAACAGG